rnacentral:rRNA from 1 species
UGGGGAAUCUUGGACAAUGGGCGCAAGCCUGAUCCAGCCAUGCCGCGUGAGUGAUGAAGGCCUUAGGGUUGUAAAACUCUUUCGCCGAGGACGAUAAUGACGGUACUCGGAGAAGAAGCUCCGGCUAACUUCGUGCCAGCAGCCGCGGUAAUACGAAGGGGGCUAGCGUUGUUCGGAUUUACUGGGCGUAAAGCGCGUGUAGGCGGGUCGUUAAGUUGGGGGUGAAAUCCCGAGGCUCAACCUCGGAACUGCCUCCAAAACUGGCGACCUGGAGCAAGAUAGAGGCGAGUGGAAUUCCGAGUGUAGAGGUGAAAUUCGUAGAUAUUCGGAGGAACACCAGUGGCGAAGGCGACUCGCUGGAUCUUUGCUGACGCUGAGACGCGAAAGCGUGGGGAGCAAACAGGAUUAGAUACCCACGUAGUCCCUGAGCGGGCUGGCAAGGCGCAU